rnacentral:rRNA from 1 species
GGCGGGACACGUGGUAUCCUGUCUGAAUAUGGGGGGACCAUCCUCCAAGGCUAAAUACUCCUGACUGACCGAUAGUGAACCAGUACCGUGAGGGAAAGGCGAAAAGAACCCCGGCGAGGGGAGUGAAAAAGAACCUGAAACCGUGUACGUACAAGCAGUGGGAGCACCCUUUGGGGUGUGACUGCGUACCUUUUGUAUAAUGGGUCAGCGACUUAUAUUCUGUAGCAAGGUUAACCGAAUAGGGGAGCCGGAGGGAAACCGAGUCUUAAUUGGGCGUUAAGUUGCAGGGUAUAGACCCGAAACCCGGUGAUCUAGCCAUGGGCAGGUUGAAGGUUGGGUAACACUAACUGGAGGACCGAACCGACUAAUGUUGAAAAAUUAGCGGAUGACCUGUGGCUGGGGGUGAAAGGCCAAUCAAACCGGGAGAUAGCUGGUUCUCCCCGAAAGCUAUUUAGGUAGCGCCUCGUGAAUUCAUCUCCGGGGGUAGAGCACUGUUUCGGCUAGGG